UACGGAGGGUGCAAACGUUGCUCGGAAUCAUUGGGCGUAAAGCGCACGUAGGUGGCCUGUUAAGUCGGGUGUGAAAUCCCUGGGCUCAACCCAGGAAGUGCACUCGAAACUGGCAGGCUUGAGUACUGAAGAGGGUCGCGGAAUUCCCGGUGUAGAGGUGAAAUUCGUAGAUAUCGGGAGGAACACCGGUGGCGAAGGCGGCAUCCUGGACCGGUAUUGACGCUGAGGCGCGAAAGCCAGGGGAGCAAACGGG
rnacentral:rRNA from 1 species